AGGCCAGUUGAUCUCAAUUCAACUCCGGUUGAGCGGCUCAUAACCGCUUGGUUGGGGGUUCGAGUCCCUCCGGGCCCA
rnacentral:tRNA from 1 species